CGUGACCUGAGCUGAAGUCGGAUGCUUAACCGACUGAGCCACCCAGGCACCUCCGAUGCAAAUUCUUGAAUAUCACAAUUUACAAUUGACUUGAUUACGAAGCAUGAAAUUAAUUUUAGACAGUUCAAAAUGGGAACUGCUUCAGAUUCUAAGUUGGCAGAUGUCAAUUUAAAGGGCAUUUAGGAUAUAUUCUGCUCUUUCUUAAAGGUUUCAAUGCUAUUUGAAGGUGGUUUACCUCUGCAGUUUCAAUUCUGCUACACUGACAAAGCACAAGGCAGGAGAUGUACUGUGGAAGGUAGAAUGUCCGUGAUGUUAAAGAUAUUCCUAAUUUGGGGAUAUCGCCUAAUGGAGAUAAAGUUAGUGGUGUUAAGAUGUUCCUAAUUUGAGGAGCUAAGGCGCCAAUCUAGACCCAUGGUCUUUCAUUCCUUCUUUACAGUGCUCAUCAGAAAAGGAAAUAUCUAACGGUCAAGUGCUUUGGACUGGCAGUCAAACUGACUUAGUUUCAAAUCCCACCUCUACCAGUGUCUACCACACUCUCCAAGCCUUGAGUAUGCACAUUUGUAAAGUGAGGUAUACCAGUACCUAUCUGUCUCCUCUUGGAGAUUAAAUAAGAUACCGCAUAUCGGUGCCUGGCACUUCACAGAAGGAGCUCAAUAAGCAUUAACUAUUAUUAAUAUUAUUAAACAGGAAGAAGAUGGCAUUAUAAGCCAAACCGGUCUGCAACAAGGGAAGUGUGAAACUGAGACAAAGCCUUCAGAACACUGUAUAUGACAGAAACAUUACAAUUAUUGUUUAAUUUUUAUAAAUAUAUUGGUCUGCAAUAGAAUGGAAAUUAAACAAGACCAAAAAUUAGUCAUCUACCAGACAGCUGGAGGAGCACUGCCCUAGAGCUCUGGUGUGAACAGCUUGCUCUCUGUUACCAGCUCUGUGGCAAAGGGGAGACGUGCUCAGAAAUCACUUAGGCAUAAAGGAAGCAAGAAAGAAGUUACAAAAGCAUCAAGAAAGUUGGUCUGGGGGCAAGGAAUGCCGAAGACAGUGAUGAGAUCACUGUCACAUAAAGCCGGAUGGUCAGAUACAGCAGGUCAUGAUCUCACAGUUCAUGGGUUUGAGCCCCCAAGUCCGACUCUGCACUGGCAUCACGGAACCAGUGAAAAAGAAGAUAGCAGAUCGCAUAUUGCAAAAACCACUCAAGAUGGUUCAAGAAGAUACUGAAACUGGAAAAGUUCUCAGCACUUUAUACAAAUAAAGUUUCAUUAAUCUCUUA